GCUGCCGGGACCCACGUAAAGGCGAAAUGCUUCCGUCAGAUCAAAUAUGUCGCACCAUCAAACACAGGCGAAGGUUCUGGUGGCUGGAACAGUUGGUCAAGCUGGAGCGAGUGUUCAAACACGUGCAGUUCCGGUACGAACAUGCGCACGCGCGUCUGCAGCGGAAACGGAAAUCAGUGCAAUGGCAUCACGACCGAAACGGAGAAGCGGAAUUGUCCAUUUGAAAGAGACUGCCCUGUUGACGGUGGGUGGAGCCAAUGGAGUAUGACGUCAUCAUGUUCAGUCACUUGUGGUGGAGGAAAACAAUUUAGGUCAAGGUCAUGUAGUUAUCCCCCUCCUAGCUACGGCGGUAAACUGUGCGUCGAUACUUCCGGCCAGCUUACGUCACUCAACGAAACAUAUUUGCUAGUUUGCAAUAC